UACAGGGGGGGCAAGCGUUGUUCGGAAUUACUGGGCGUAAAGGGCCAGUAGGCGGCCGAUUAAGUCCGACGUGAAAUCCCCAGGCUUAACCUGGAAACUGCGUCGGAUACUGAUGGGCUUGAAUUCGGGAGAGGGAUGCAGAAUUCCAGGUGUAGCGGUGAAAUGCGUAGAUAUCUGGAGGAAUACCGGUGGCGAAGGCGGCAUCCUGGACCGACAUUGACGCUGAACGGCGAAAGCUAGGGGAGCAAACGGG
rnacentral:rRNA from 1 species